CCCUUCCUGCUGACUGUGGCCUAACUUAAGGUAACGUGUGAAACUACAAAAACACAGAAAACCUCAGAAAUAACUGGAAGGAUUAUUUUAUGCAUGCUUAUUUUCUUCUAGAAAUUAUUGUCCAUUAACCCAGAGGCAGCAGGAAGGAUGAGUGGUGCAAGAGAGCAGAGUCACCACUUUGCUUCCACAGAUGACCAUUGUGGUGAUUGUCCCAGGAGCAUACAGUGAGCAUAGAGUGGCACUGCAUGUUCUAGGCCCCUACUUCGGAUCAACUCAUUAUCCCGAAUAAACGAUGUGUCAUUCCCAUUAUUUAUGUUUCACUGCAGCCAAAGUAUCUGGACCUCGUUUUGCAGAGAGAAGUAUGGAAGAGGAAUUCAUGGACUGUUUUUCAGCUCCUUUUUCUUCUGAUUUUGCUACCUGCUACUGUGUCCUUUUCAGCUUAUAGAAGGUUUUGGCACAUUGCACAUCAUCUGACUGACAGUGGUGGAUUGAGGUAUAGAUGUGGAGUUUGCCACAUACCAAGGCCAGAUUUCUCAGGUGCCUCACUAUUGUUUAAAGAAUAAAGUAAACUAACCUUCAUUGUGGGAGAGGCAGACGAAAGGCAGAGGAUUAGUAAAGGCAGUCCAAGCCUUUUAGUUGUAAAUUGGCAGUGAUAGCAGAUGAUAGCUAUUUGCAUCUGAAGAUUGUUGCUGGACCAUGUGGAAAGAACUUGUGGUUUCCAUUCCAUCUCUUGUGAAAGGCAGCACCACCACACGCAGUAUCACUUUUCUCAUUCCCUCGGGCAAUUUCAACAAAAAGACAGAUGGGCAUUUUUCUGACCCAACUUUUGGGAAUCAGUGAGAAUUUUGCCAUCCGUUUCAGUGGCUCU
ensembl:lncRNA